rnacentral:rRNA from 1 species
CCUACGGGAGGCAGCAGUGAGGAAUAUUGGUCAAUGGACGAAAGUCUGAACCAGCCAAGUAGCGUGAAGGAUGACUGCCCUAUGGGUUGUAAACUGCUUUUAUAUGGGAAUAAAGUGUUCCACGUGUGGGAUUUUGUAUGUACCCUAUGAAUAAGGAUCGGCUAACUCCGUGCCAGCAGCCGCGGUAAUACGGAGGAUCCGAGCGUUAUCCGGAUUUAUUGGGUUUAAAGGGAGCGUAGGUGGAUUGUUAAGUCAGGUGUGAAAUGUUGCGGCUCAACCGUAAAAUUGCAGCGGAAACUGGCAGGCUGGAGUACAGUAGAGGUGGGCGGAAUUCGUGGUGUAGCGGUGAAAUGCUUAGAUAUCACGAAGAACCCCGAUUGCGAAGGCAGCUCACUGGACUGCAACUGACACUGAGGCUCGAAAGUGUGGGUAUCAAACAGGAUUAGAUACCCCUGUAGUC